GUUAUAUGGUCAAGCGAUUAAGUGCAUACGGUGGAUGCCUAGGCAGUAAGAGGCGAUGAAGGACGUGGUAGUCUGCGAUAAGCCUCGGGGAGUAGACAAACAUGCUUUGAUCCGAGGAUUUCCGAAUGGGAAAACCCAGCUGACACAAGUCAGCUAUCUUUACAUGAAUUCAUAGUGUAGAGAGGCGAACCCGGGGAACUGAAACAUCUAAGUACCCGGAGGAAAAGAAAUCAACCGAGAUUCCCCCAGUAGCGGCGAGCGAACGGGGACCAGCCCUAAAACCUUUGGUGUGUUAGUGGAACGCUCUGGAAAGUGCGGCCAUAGAGAGUGAUAGCCUCGUACGCGAAAGCUAUCCAAAGGCGAUUCGAGUAAGUCGGGACACGUGUUAUCUUGACUGAAAAUGGGGGGACCAUCCUCCAAGGCUAAAUACUACUUACUGACCGAUAGUGAACCAGUACCGUGAGGGAAAGGUGAAAAGAACCCCUGUUAGGGGAGUGAAAUAGACCCUGAAACCGUAUGCAUACAAGCAGUAGGAGCCCUUCGGGGUGACUGCGUACCUUUUGUAUAAUGGGUCAGCGACUUAUUCUCAGUGGCAAGCUUAAGCGACUAGCGGAGGCGUAGGGAAACCGAGUCUUAAAUGGGCGAGGCCAGGUUGAAGGUGCCGUAACAGGCACUGGAGGACCGAACCCACUUAUGUUGAAAAAUGAGGGGAUGAGCUGUGGAUCGGAGUGAAAGGCUAAUCAAACCCGGAGAUAGCUGGUUCUCCUCGAAAUCUAUUUAGGUAGAGCCUCUCGUCUCACUGCUGGGGGUAGAGCACUGUUAUGGCUAGGGGGCCAUCCCGGCUUACCAAACCAUUGCAAACUCCGAAUACCAGCAAGUGCAAUCGAGGGAGACACACGGCGGGUGCUAACGUCCGUCGUGGAAAGGGAAACAACCCAGACCGCCAGCUAAGGUCCCAAAAUACCGCUCAGUGGGAAACGAUGUGGGAAGGCAUAGACAGCCAGGAGGUUGGCUUAGAAGCAGCCACCCUUUAAAGAAAGCGUAAUAGCUCACUGGUCUAGUCGGCCUGCGCGGAAGAUUUACCGGGGCUCAAGCGGUAUACCGAAGCUGCGGAUGCGUCUUUGACGCAUGGUAGAGGAGCGUUCUGUAGGCCUGUGAAGGUGUGUCGCAAGGCAUGCUGGAGGUAUCAGAAGUGCGAAUGCUGACAUAAGUAACGAUAAUGCGGGUGAGAAACCCGCACGCCGAAAACCCAAGGUUUCCUGCGCAACGUUAAUCGGCGCAGGGUUAGUCGGAUCCUAAGGCGAGGCCGAAAGGCGUAGUCGAUGGAAAACAGGUUAAUAUUCCUGUACCACUGCUAACUGCGAUGGGGGGACGGAGAAGGCUAGGCCAGCCGGCAGUUGGUGUCCGGUUUAAGCGAGUAGGGUGUAUUUCCAGGAAAAUCCGGAAAUGCUUUACCUGAGACGUGAUGACGAGCUCGAAUGCGAGCGAAGUGGUCGAUGCCAUGCUUCCUGGAAAAUCCUCUAAGCUUCAGGUUAUCAGUGUCCGUACCCCAAACCGACACAGGUGGGUAGGUUGAGAAUACCAAGGCGCUUGAGAGAACUCGGGUGAAGGAACUAGGCAAAAUAGCACCGUAACUUCGGGAGAAGGUGCGCCCCCUUUGGUGACUGCCCGGUGCCGGAAGGUUAAUUGAUGGGGUUAUCUUCGGAGAAGCUCUUGAUCGAAGCCCCGGUAAACGGCGGCCGUAACUAUAACGGUCCUAAGGUUAACUUCGCUAGCCUUAGUAAAACCAAGCUAUAUGCGGGAAACUCCUCCAAAACCAAUCAGUACUCGACAUCGGAAGGGAUGUCAGUAACAAUCUGAUGGACAUGGGGACAAUCCGCAGGGAAGACUUUGAUGCACAAAGAACCCUCAGAGACUAUACGCUUGGGAAUUGCCAAUGAAGCUUGAAUCUCAAUGGAUCACAGGAUUCGUGGAUGGUGAAGGCUGCUUUCAUGUGUGGAUCAAUCCUCACAGGGACAUGUCAGCCGGAUUUCAGGUAUUGCCUGAAUUCACCGUUGUGCAACACGAGCGCGAUGUGCAGAUUCUUCACGCACUGAAAGCUUAUUUUGAUUGUGGUGUCGUUCGCGACCAUCACGAAGAUCGAAUGGCUUACAGGGUGCGAAGCAAGCAACACUUGCUUGAACACAUCGUUCCAUUUUUUGAAAAGCAUCCUCUGAAAACCAGGAAGAACGUUGACUUCAGAAAGUUUCGUUCCGUGUUACUCCUGAUGGACAGAGGUGUUCAUCUGACGUCGGAUGGGGUCGAAGAAAUUCGAGCCAUUGUGGCGACGAUGAGCAGAGGCAGUUCAAGAUAGAGUCCGACUUUUCUGGAAACAGAAGAAGAUUUGUCGAGCGAAAUUCCUUGUCGGGUAAGUUCCGACCUGCACGAAUGGCGUAACGAUGGCCACACUGUCUCCACCCGAGACUCAGUGAAAUUGAAUUCGCGGUUAAGAUGCCGUGUACCCGCGGCUAGACGGAAAGACCCCGUGAACCUUUACUACAGCUUUGCAUUGAACUUUGAACCUAUUUGUGUAGGAUAGGUGGGAGGCGUUGAAACGUGAUCGCCAGAUUGCGUGGAGCCAUCCUUGAAAUACCACCCUGGUAUGUUUGGAGUUCUAACUUGGGCCCGUAAUCCGGGUUGAGGACAAUGUAUGGUGGGUAGUUUGACUGGGGCGGUCUCCUCCCAAAGAGUAACGGAGGAGCGCGAAGGUACCCUAAGCACGGUCGGAAAUCGUGCGGUUUGUGCAAAGGCAUAAGGGUGCUUGACUGCGAGACAGACACGUCGAGCAGGUGCGAAAGCAGGUCUUAGUGAUCCGGUGGUUCUGUAUGGAAGGGCCAUCGCUCAACGGAUAAAAGGUACUCCGGGGAUAACAGGCUGAUUCCUCCCAAGAGUCCAUAUCGACGGAGGAGUUUGGCACCUCGAUGUCGGCUCAUCACAUCCUGGGGCUGUAGCAGGUCCCAAGGGUAUGGCUGUUCGCCAUUUAAAGUGGUACGCGAGCUGGGUUUAGAACGUCGUGAGACAGUUCGGUCCCUAUCUGCCGUGGGCGUUUGAGAAUUGAAGGAAGCUGCUCCUAGUACGAGAGGACCGGAGUGGACGAUCCUCUGGUGUUCCGGUUGUCACGCCAGUGGCACUGCCGGGUAGCUAUGAUCGGACAGGAUAACCGCUGAAAGCAUCUAAGCGGGAAGCCCCUCCUGAGAUGAGUUCUCACUGGACCCUUGAGGUCCCUGUAGGGCCCUUGUAGACUACAAGGUUGAUAGGCUGGGUGUGGAAGCACAGCAAUGUGUGAAGCUAACCAGUACUAAUUGCCCGUGAGGCUUGACCAUAUAACACCCAAGCAGUUGCU
rnacentral:rRNA from 1 species